ACAGUACAAUCGACGUUUCAAUUUCAAGAUCGAUCAGUACUUCAUUCGCACUCACCCAGAUCCGAUUGCUCCAAGUGUAGUGUAAAAUGUUGCUAGUGAUUGCUAUGCUAUGUUGUUUGUUUACAUCUUCCACCGUCAAAAGUGAUCCAACAUUUCAGCAAUAUGCAGAACUUAUGUUCCAAUUCGAUACAGUUUUUGAAACACUGUGUCUAGAGCAAACGAACGACUCAAGCAAAGCUCGACAAAUGGUUGAAGCUAAUCAAGCCCUUCAAGCCUGUGUUAAUCUGCAUCACGAUCCGCAAAAUUUCACUAAUGCACUGGAUUCGUUGACUCCUGCAAAUCAUAACGCUUUCAUCAAUUAUAACUGUGACCAAUUUGAGGAAAUCAAAAAAUGCUACGAUCCCUUUACACGCCAGCUGGAGGUAUGCUUUACCGGGCGCGAUGUUUCAAUGAUUAAGACAUUGAUUCUGCUAGAAGAAGAGUUUGCGUUCAUAUGUGAAAAAGAUGGAGCAAAUGUUGUUACCGUGCAUCAGUCCAAUUACUCAUACUGUGCUGGAAAUCUAAAAGACCUUCUACAUAAUUGCACCACAUCGGGUUGGGCGGAAUUACGUAGCAAAACUAUCGAAACAAUGACAAAAGGCGACUGCAGCGUUUUCCAAAACUUAGCAUCCUGCUUCCAGGAAAACAUUACCAAAUGUGGAGCACCUCUUUUUGCAAGGCUAUUUGGUAUACGGUAUCAUGCAAUCGUAAAACAGACAUCAUGUAGCACAAAAAUACUCUCAACAGAAACAUAAUGCAGGCUUCGUCUUGAACAAAUUUUGCAGCAAGAUAGAAAAUGCCUGAGAUAAUUAUUAAACAACAAUAACAUAUUGCUAUCUGCUAUCAUUAAAUGUAAUAAAGUAUAUGGACAUAUCAUUAAACUAAUAAGCCACAAGCAUUGGAGAUGACCCAAUAAAAACGAAUGAUCUCCAAAAUAAAUUAAAAGGGAUUUAUUCAAUAGAGAUUACCUAUUAUUGCUAGUUAGAGGAUUGUAAUAACAAACUGAAUGACAACGGCAUUCCCACAUCUAUUUGUUUGUUUUAGAAGUGGAAAAAUAGAUUUUUUCGAGAAUGGCCGACUGAUAAUUUAAAUGUAAGAACACGAUGGUCAAGAACUCAAACCUGUGCAAGAAUGAUUCCUGAUAUGAAUACACGAUUGUUUUUCGCUGCA